rnacentral:rRNA from 1 species
UACGAAGGGGGGCUAGCGUUGUUCGGAAUUACUGGGCGUAAAGCGCGCGCAGGCGGUCUUCCAAGUCAGUGGUGAAAGCCCGGAGCUCAACUCCGGAAUUGCCAUUGAAAACUGUGAGACUGGAGUACGAGAGAGGUGAGUGGAAUUCCCAGUGUAGAGGUGAAAAUUCGUAGAUAUUGGGAAGAACACCGGUGGCGAAGGCGGCUCACUGGACCACAACUGACGCUGAGGCGCGAAAAGCUAGGGGGAGCAAACAGG